UAUUGGCACUAAAAAGAUCCCUCCCUGCUCAAUGGCCCUGAGUGCCGAGCAUAGGACAAAAUUUGCAGCUCUCCACCGGUGUUUCCAUAUGAGUGAAAAAUUCUUGAGAGGGAUGUUAAACAAAUCUGUCUGUUGAAUUUAGUCAUUGAUAUUACACAAUUGUAUACACUAAAACUUAUUUUAUAGCAGAGGUACAAAAGAACCAGUAACACAGAUAAAAGAUGCAGUUGCUAAGAGAUCCAAAGUCAGCGGCACCUAAGGCUAUACUGACUUUGAAUUAUCAGCAUCCAAAACAAUGCAAAUCAAAUACAGGUGUCUGCACAUCCUGCAAUCCUAAGACAAUACUGGAUGGUUUUGAUUAAGAACUGAUCCAGCUUGAAGACCAGCCAUGUGCCUCACCUGUCAUGACAUUAUUUAGUACUUUGUGACAGUGGGAAGAUAGAAUUUAAAAAAUGGACAUGGCUCUAUAUUACUGCAUCAGAGAUCAAUCCAGGUUUACUUAUAAUUUGAAGAAAAAUAGUCAAGCAUCAUUUGGAGCUAUGU